AGAGGAAGCCGGUGCGAAUCCGGCGCGGUCCCGCCACUGUCACCGGGUGAUCCGAACACGGUCCCCGGGAGCCAGGAACUC
rnacentral:ncRNA from 2 species